GCUCCUAUCGUAUAAUGGCUAUUACCACGGCUUUGUAACCCGUUGAUCUCUGUUCAAUUCAGUGUGGGAGCACCA
rnacentral:tRNA from 1 species